rnacentral:lncRNA from 1 species
AGGACAUUGAAGUCCUAUUUGAAUCCUAUGGCAUCCAGCUGCCCCUGCUGAAGGCAUUGAUUGACAGGUUACUUCAGGACGGGAUGGAGGAGCUGCUGCAUGAGUUCAACACCAACAGGAGAGACAAGGGCGAGAGGAAGGAGCCCAGCUCCAACGUCAUCACAGAGUACACAAGCGCUGUGAAGUAUGACGUCCCCAGUGAGGUGCUGACCAAGUCUGAGGUGCAUGGAGGGGAGGAGGAGGCAGGAGAAGAGGGGCCGCUACAGACACCAGACAUGGCUGAUCCUAUAAAUGAGACAAAGGGGGGUCCUGCAUUAUGGGAUGCCGUAACUCUGAAUGGAGAGUUUGGCCAUGAUGGAGACGUUGAGAGUAAACUCAGAGUGACAGGAGAUGAGAGUGAUCCUGAGCCCCCUGAAGACAACCUGCACAUCCUGAGCAGCCAGGAGGACUCACUGAGGAAGAGCUCAGGGGAGAGGAAGAGGGGCAGAGACCGAGGAAAGGAGGACCAAGAUGAAGAGAUUGGAGAGGAUAUGUAUGAAGCUGAAGAGUACAUCUAUGAAUAUGAGGUAAACGACUCUGGACUAUUAACUUAUUGAUUAGUAUCCAAGUAUAAACACUGUGCAAAACCUGAGGUGAAUAAGAAUAAAUCCUAAAAGCCAACAUGUGGUGGGGCCUUA